CUCGGACAGGUGCACAUGUUGGGUCUGGAGCAGAAGCCGUCUCCACAGGGGCUCCGACAAAUAGCUGAGAACAGCAAAAACAAUGACUGACGACGUCUACUGAUUGCUGGACCUUCACAGACAUCAAUAAACAUGAAGCUUUUUUGUGUAUUUGAACCUUUACGACGAUGACCGUAUGAUUCUGAGAUCAUCUUUUCACACUGAGGACAACUGAGGGACUCACUGAGCGUUUGAACUGUAUAUGCACAUCUAUUUUACUCUUAAAUCCUCCCAGAAAAUCCAAGUCUGCAGAUUCAGGUCUGGUCCUGCUCCAGCUCUUUCCAUCUUGCAGUUCAUCGAGGCAUAUGCCAGCUGUCUUAUUCAGGAAAUAUCGGCUUAAUCGGAUUAAUGCCAUCGUUACACCAUGCACACAGAACUGGAACGUGUCCAAUCUCUGAUUAUUAGUGGAAUGUUCUUGUUAAGUGCGGUCAGCGAGAGGUCAGGAGGUCAGAGAGACUCUGGGCCAUUGUGGCUGAGAUCCAUUAGUGCUCCUGACCUUCACAUGUAAACAACAUCACCCCCCCCCCCCUCCCACCGCGCCAGAAUAACACAACAGCCUUCCUGAGCGCUGCCAGUCUAUUCAUUUAAACCACUGCGUAUUACACCACUGCGCUUCUGAACACAGCAAACAGGAAGCUGAGGAGGACUCACGGACGAUGCACUGGUUUCCUCCGGUCAAGGUCUUCCAUCCGGGACAGCAGUACGCAUUAUGACGGGAUCCACACACAUUCGGCCUGCGGGAAGAGUUCGGCAAAACUUAACCGAGCUAGGGCUCAGAUACAGAUGUGUGAAACUCUCCAUACAUGGAGUAAAGUGUACAUUAGAAGAACAUAGAAAGGAGCAAACACUGUAAACAGAAAUUUAGCAGUAAAUAAAACAGAAUACUUGA